UGAGAGAGAUUGUAGUAGAUGGGCUAUGUAGACGCAAAAAUAAACACUUUUCUGAAAUGUUAUGGCAAUGAGAUAGGAGCUUUCCUUUAAAGCAAAAGACCUGUUUUGUCUUAUAGUAUUAUACAAAGAGAAUGUGAAUGUUAAAAUUGGAAGUGCAAGCGAAGUUUUCUUUUGAAAUUUUUCAUCCUAAAACUAUAUCCACAUCACUGAAGCUUUUCUGUUCAAAAGUUUUACAGCAGCACCAGAAUGACAGAAGAUCUGUAUUGGGUUCUGAGUUGGAUACUUACUACCUCUUCACCUGACUUGUCUACACUGUCAACUUGAAUAACCAGUGAAAAAUAAUGAAAUAAUGGCGAUCAACCCUCUUCUGCUCUUGGCAUCUCAGCUUUUCCAAAGCCUUAAAUCUCCAUCUCAACUGAACAUGGAAAAUAAUGAGUCACAAGAAACCUAGGAUUGAAGCAACUCAUAAUAUCACAAAAGAAGGCAUUUUCCACCCUAUUGAAUUCAAGCAUGGCUUUGCAACUUAUUUUGACCAAGAAAUUGUGUGCAGAAAUAACUUAGGAUUUCUGUGGGGAUUCUUUGGGGCCUACUUUUCCAGUCGAACCCUGGUGGCCAACAAUGAUGUCACCAAUGGAGAGUGUUCCAUCAGCUUGCAACCUGAUGAGAGGAUCUACAAUUAAAAAACAAACGAAGAAGCAAACAAAAACUCUGGAUCACACUAAGUUUGAGGUAUAAGGAAAAAUAAAACACAUUUCAAACCACUAACAGUGUGAGAUUUUAUAUACCUGCCACAUAACUCAGCCUAUCUUGUUGGUUCUUUGAAAAUAAUCAUAAAUCAGACAGUCUUGGCUAAUCAUAAACACACACAUACAAACACACAAGCGUGCACAUACAAACAAUAUAUGGAUAUAUUUUUAAGGAAGAAAGAGAAAUAAUAUACAUGGUGCAGAUAUUAAAAUAUACUUUAAAGAGCUUUAAUGACUGUCAUGCCUGUGAAUUUAUAAAAUAAAAAAAAAAUUAGAAAGGCUCUAGCAAGACUGAGUCAAGAUUGACUCAAAAUCUUUAAUAGUUCUCUACCAAUUAAAAAUUACAGUCAGUAUUUUAAAAUCUUUACACAAAUGAAACACCAGAUCCAAGUGACCUUAAAAGCAAGUUGUAUCAAAUAGUAAAUAAACCUGACAUUACAUAAACUCUUACAGAAGUAAAGGAAGGAGCAUUUGUUACCUUAUUUUAUAAGGUUAACAAAACCUUAAUACCAAAACCUGACAAGGUAAGUGAUAGGAGAAUGAAAAUUACUUACCAUGCUAGUCGUUAAUACGCAGUACAGUAUUAGCAAAAUGAAUCCAGUAGUAAACUUAAAGAAAAGACAAAGCUUACAUAGUUGGGUUGAUCCCUAUUAACAGACAAAAG
rnacentral:lncRNA from 1 species